UACUAAUUAUUGCAAUAAUGGAGAAAGCCUUCACAUUUUUUCUCUCAACACUCUUCUUGCUUAUGGCUAGUUCAGUCAUGACCCAAACAAACAUUACCACUGAUCAAUUAGCUCUUCUAUCCUUAAAAUCCCAAAUUAUUUCGGACUCCUUUCAUUUAUUGGAUGAAAGCUGGUCUCCCGUUAGGUCCGUUUGCCAGUGGGUUGGAGUCACCUUGUGGUUCUCGUCACCAACGAGUGAUGUCCUUGAAUCUUUCCAACAUGGAUCUUUCAGAAAGGAUUCCCCCUGAUCUUGGAAACCUCUCAUUUCUUGUUUCUCUCGACUUGGAAAGAAACAAUUUCCAUGGAAAUUUGCCUCAAGAAAUGACACAUUUGCGUCGGCUUAAGUUUCUUGAUUUAAGUUUCAACAACUUCAGCAGGAAGGUUCCUUCUUGGUUUGGAUUUUUACACCAAGUUCCAGUUCUAAGUCUUAGGAAUAAUAGUUUCACUGGCUCCCUUCCCUCUUCAUCUUUUAAUAUUUCAAAGCUUGAAAUGUUGAAUUUGGCAUUCAAUUCCUUAGAAGGUCAUAUCCCUGUAUCUCUCUCGAAAGCCUCAAGGUUGCAGACGUUAGAAUUAUCUUAUAAUUCACUUCAAGGAGACAUUACAGAAGGGAUCGGCAAUCUUCCCAACAUGAACUGGUUGUCCAUACAACAUAAUCAACUAACGGGUUCUAUACCAUCCACACUCUUUAACAUUUCUAGGAUCGAAAUCAUUGCAUUUACAGGCAAUAGCUUAUAAGGAAAUCUCCCCAAUGGUUUAUGCAAUGGUCUCCCAAUACUCAAAGAGCUUUAUCUAUCUGGAAACAAGGUUUUUGGUCAUAUGCCUGCAAGAUUGUCAAAUUGUUCACAACUUCAAGUAUUGUCUUUACCAAAAACUGAGUUUGAUGGACCAAUACAAAGUGAAAUUGGAAGAUUGAGGUACUUGCAGCAAUUGUAUCUCGGAUCUAACCAUUUCACAGGGAUAAUUCCAAAAGAAAUUGGAAAUCUUGCUAAUUUGGUGGAGUUAUCGAUGGAGGGAAACCAGAUAACCGGUUCAGUCCCAAUCUCCAUAUUCAAUAUCUCAGUGCUGCAAGUUUUGUCACUGUGGGGGAACAAUCUUAAUGGAUUUUUACCAUGAGAUAUUGGCAACUUAACCAAGUUGCAAUUUUUAUAUCUUCAAGAAAAUAGGUUUACUGGCACUUAAUCAAAGUUAUAGCAAGAGGUACAACUUGAGGUAGUUAACUCAUUAGUAUUCCUUUUUGUCCUUGUAUUGACAGGUGAAAUACCUAACGAGAUAAGCAAUCUCGUUGUCUAGGAGAAACGUAAUCUUCAAUUUAAUAGUUUUAGUGGUUCACUUGAAAUGGAGACCUUCAAUAUUUCAGGGCUGAGAGUGAUUUCUCUUUCACACAAUAAUCUAUCAGGAAGCGUCCCACCAAACAUGGGUUCUAUCUUACCCAACAAUGAAGAGCUUAAUCUGGGGAGCUUAACCAAUCUUGUUGGAACUAUUCCUCAUUCCCUCUCCAAUAGUUCAGAACUUACUAUUCUAGAGCUUUCUAACAACCAACUCACUGGCUUGAUUCCCAAUUCUAUUGAAUAUUUGACUUAUCUGCAGUAUCUAAAUUUAGCAAUAAACAAUUUAACCUGUGUCAUUAAGCUUCCUUACUUUCCUAACCAAUUGCAGAAAGUUAACAACUCUUUCUCUAACUUUGAACCCUCUAAACGGCAUGCUUCCAGCUUCCACGAGGAACCUUUCCACCUCUCUUAGAAAUUUUUACGCCAACGUUUGCAAAGUAAAAGUGCGAAGUUCAAAUGAAGUUGGGAACUUAAGCACCUUAUUAGACCUUGAUCUUUCUAGAAACUACUUGGUUGGAUCGAUUCCCAUAUCAAUGGGAAACUUGAGAAACCUGCAGGACUUGUUCUUGAGUAACAACAAACUUACAGGAUCUAUCGGUGAUAAUCUAUGUAGAUUGCAGUGCUUGGAUGUCAUUGACUUGACUCAAAAUAAUUUUUCAGGUUCUCUUCCUUAUUGUUUAGGAAAUAUUACUUCCCUUAGAGAGAUAUGUAUGGGUUCCAAUAAAUUGAGUACCAAUAUACCACCAAGCUUAGGGAACAUUCAAGAUCUAGUGGUUCUUGACUUAUUUGUCAAACAUGGUAGGUUCUUUACCUCUAGAAAUUGGAAAUCUAAAGGCUGCGACACUGAUAGAUCUGUCAAUGAAUCAAUUUUCAAAUAGAAUUCCAAGAGAAACUUCAGGAUUGCAGAAUCUGGCACACCUUUCUUUGAGACACAACAAGUUGCAAGGAACUAUACCUAACUCAAUGAGCAACAUGGUAGGUUUGGAAUUCCUAGACCUUUCUCACAAUAAUAUAUCUGGAAUCAUUCCUAAGUCUUUGGAGAAACUUAAAACCUGAAGUAUUUCAAUGUUUCUUUCAACAAAAUUGUAUGGUGAAAUAUCCUCGGGAGGUCCUUUCAAGAACCUCUCGAGUCAGUUUUUUAUCUA